rnacentral:rRNA from 1 species
GACGAGCGCUGGCGGCGUGCUUAACACAUGCAAGUCGAACGGAAAGGCCCUGCUUUUGUGGGGUGCUCGAGUGGCGAACGGGUGAGUAACACGUGAGUAACCUGCCCUUGACUUUGGGAUAACUUCAGGAAACUGGGGCUAAUACCGGAUAGGAGCUCCUGCUGCAUGGUGGGGGUUGGAAAGUUUCGGCGGUUGGGGAUGGACUCGCGGCUUAUCAGCUUGUUGGUGGGGUAGUGGCUUACCAUGGCUUUGACGGGUAGCCGGCCUGAGAGGGUGACCGGCCACAUUGGGACUGAGAUACGGCCCAGACUCCUACGGGAGGCAGCAGUGGGGAAUAUUGCACAAUGGGCGGAAGCCUGUUGCAGCAACGCCGCGUGCGGGAUGACGGCCUUCGGGUUGUAAACCGCUUUCGCCUGUGACGAAGCGUGAGUGACGGUAAUGGGUAAAGAAGCACCGGCUAACUACGUG